rnacentral:rRNA from 1 species
AAAUGACUCUCGGCAAUGGAUAUCUCGGCUCUUGCAUCRAUGAAGAACGUARUGAAAUGCGAUACUUGGUGUGAAUUGCASAAUCUCGUGAACCAUYGAGUCUUUGAACGCAAGUUGUGCCCGAGGCCUUGUGGUCGAGGGCACSCCUGCUUGGGUGUCAUGG